rnacentral:rRNA from 1 species
UGAGGAAUAUUGGACAAUGGGUGGAAGCCUGAUCCAGCCAUCCCACGUGAAGGACGACGGUUCUAUGGAUUGUAAACUUCUUUUAUAUAGGGAUAAACCUACUCUCGUGAGGGUAGCUGAAGGUACUAUAUGAAUAAGCACCGGCUAACUCCGUGCCAGCAGCCGCGGUAAUACGGAGGGUGCAAGCGUUAUCCGGAUUUAUUGGGUUUAAAGGGUCCGUAGGCGGGCUAAUAAGUCAGUGGUGAAAUCCUGCAGCUUAACUGUAGCACUGCCAUUGAUACUGUUAGUCUUGAGUAUAUUUGAAGUAGCUGGAAUAAGUAGUGUAGCGGUGAAAUGCAUAGAUAUUACUUAGAACACCAAUUGCGAAGGCAGGUUGCUAAGAUAUAACUGACGCUGAGGGACGAAAGCGUGGGUAGCGAACAGGAUUAGAUACCCUGGUAGUCCACGCUGUAAACGAUGCUGACUCGUUUUUGGUUUGUAAGAAUCAGAGGCUAAGCGAAAGUGAUAAGUCAGCCACCUGGGGAGUACGACCGCAAGGUUG